UACAGAGGGUGCAAGCGUUAAUCGGAUUUACUGGGCGUAAAGCGUGCGUAGGCGGUUCGCUAAGUCGGUUGUGAAAUCCCUGGGCUUAACCUGGGAACUGCAGUCGAUACUGGUGGACUAGAGUACGGUAGAGGGUGGCGGAACUCCGGGUGUAGCGGUGAAAUGCGCAGAUAUCAGGAGGAACACCGAUGGCGAAGGCAGGUCUCUGGGCCACUACUGACGCUGAGAAGCGAAAGCAUGGGGAGCGAACAGG
rnacentral:rRNA from 1 species